UCCCGCCGGACCUGACUGCUAUCGGAUUGAUACUAAGCCAUGCGAGUCUUUGUAGUAAUACAAGGCAUACGGCUCAGUAACACGUAGUCAACCUACCCUAUGGACGAGAAUAAUCUCGGGAAACUGAGCAUAAUUCUUGAUAGAUCAUAAUGCCUGGAAUGGUUUAUGAUUAAAAUGAUUCGUCGCCCUAGGAUGGGACUGCGGCCUAUCAGCUUGUUGGUGAGGUAAUGGCCCACCAAGGCGAUUACAGGUACGGGCUCUGAGAGGAGAAGCCCGGAGAUGGGUACUGAGACACGGACCCAGGCCCUAUGGGGCGCAGCAGGCGAGAAAACUUUGCAAUGUGCGAAAGCACGACAAGGUUAAUCCGAGUGUUUUCUGCUAAAGAAAUCUUUUGCUAGUCGUAAAACCACUGGUGAAUAAGGGGUGGGCAAGUUCUGGUGUCAGCCGCCGCGGUAAAACCAGCACCUCAAGUGGUCAGGAUGAUUAUUGGGCCUAAAGCAUCCGUAGCCUGCUUUGUAAGUUUUCGGUUAAAUCCAUGUGCUCAACGCAUGGGCUGCCGAAAAUACUGCAUAGCUAGGGAGUGGGAGAGGUAGACGGUACUCAGUAGGUAGGGGUAAAAUCCUUUGAUCUAUUGAUGACCACCUGUGGCGAAGGCGGUCUACCAGAACACGUUCGACGGUGAGGGAUGAAAGCUGGGGGAGCAAACCGGAUUAGAUACCCGGGUAGUCCCAGCUGUAAACGAUGCAGACUCGAUGAUGCAUUGGCAUAAUAGCCAUUGCAGUGUCGCAGGGAAGCCGUUAAGUCUGCCGCCUGGGAAGUACGUACGCAAGUAUGAAACUUA
rnacentral:rRNA from 1 species